AUUGAACGCUGGCGGCAUGCUUUACACAUGCAAGUCGAACGGUAACAGGCCGCAAGGUGCUGACGAGUGGCGAACGGGUGAGUAAUGCAUCGGAACGUGCCCAGUCGUGGGGGAUAACGCAGCGAAAGCUGCGCUAAUACCGCAUACGAUCUAUGGAUGAAAGCGGGGGACCGAAAGGCCUCGCGCGAUUGGAGCGGCCGAUGUCAGAUUAGGUAGUUGGUGGGGUAAAGGCUCACCAAGCCAACGAUCUGUAGCUGGUCUGAGAGGACGACCAGCGAGACGGGGACUGAGACACGGCCCAGACUCCUACGGGAGGCAGCAGUGGGGAAUUUUGGACAAUGGGCGCAAGCCUGAUCCAGCAAUGCCGCGUGCAGGAAGAAGGCCUUCGGGUUGUAAACUGCUUUUGUACGGAACGAAACGGUCCUGGUUAAUACCUGGAGCUAAUGACGGUACCGUAAGAAUAAGCACCGGCUAACUACGUGCCAGCAGCCGCAGUAAAAC
rnacentral:rRNA from 1 species